GCUCAUGAAUAUUAAUAUUUCCAAGCUUACGUUGAUUUCAUGGAGCAUCCAGUUACGUAGCUAUUAAUAUUAAUGAGUAACGCCUUCGUAGAGCUCAACGCAAGCGUUUUUACCAUAGGAAAGUGCGGGUCAACUAGCGUGUUAUGACAGUACGUCACCGUUUGCGGAUACCAUACAAAUGAAUCAGGAGAGCCGUUAACUGACACCUACCUGUCGCAAAACUGUCCGUGUCUUCUCUUAUAAAACAGACAUUUUAUCGUAGUAAACUCCACACCAAGUUCAUUCCAAAAGGAUUGUUUGGUGUAAAACAUGUUAAAGAUUGGCGGUCAGCUGAUUAAGUGAUGAGCUAUUUCCUCACUAAAGCAGUUUAUUCAGCACACUGAAACAUCUCCGCCUCUGAUCUCAUCGCAGAUGUCAUGCCCAUAGAAUUUCUAGCCGCGUAAUGCAUUGUGUAUCAGCUAGAAUGGCUCUGGUAAAGCUGUUCAGUUUGUAGCCAUUAAACCCGGAAGAUAAUUAGCAUUUUGGAGCCAUACAUUUUAUCGGGAAUUUCAUAGUGGGUUUUAGAACAGCAGUUUUUGAUUAGUGAGUAAAAUAUGGUCUGUGGUUAACAUUAUUUGAAAAGACGUUCACGCGAAUAUGAGUUUACAAACGUCGUUCUAUCAGCAAAUCAAGUAGAUGUACUGUCCGAACGUCGGUACGUCAUUAAUGUUAAUGAGCAAUUUCCUCGCCGUAUUAGGAUUCUGUGAAUUCAUGAAACAACGUUGGCUAGAACUUUAAAGGUCCAAAAAGCACAUAAACGCAGCAUAAAAGUAAUCCUCACAACUCCAGUGGUAAAAUCCGUAUCUUGAGAAGCGAUAAGAUAAGUGUGGGUGAGAAACAGAUCAGUGCUGUGGUUGCCUCGCUGACCUGUCAGUCAACGACUUAAAAGACAGCAUUUGCGUACGAAGGUACCUCUGGAAACUGGUUUCAGACAGUCUUCCUAGGCAGCGAUACGUCAUAUCAUUGCUAGGACAGCAGCAUGCAUUCAGUCCAACCAAACCACUAAAGGUCUAAUAAUUUAGAACAAAAUCAAGAGAGUUUUGGCGAUAACCCAGCAUACAUUAAAUAAGUACAAUACUACUUUCUGUGCUAGAAAUGGAAUCAAAAGUUGGGAAAAAAUCUUACAUUUAUACACAAACUGGCUAUCAACUGCCUCUUCAGCCACCAUUUUUUUUCUUUAGCUCAGCCGCUGUGGAUCCACACACACAGGAUUGUAAGAGUUCAUAGGCAGCGACGGAUACAUCUAUGCUGCCUUCAAAAAUGUAUCAGAUGAAGGUAUCUCAGUAGAAUGGAUGUGAUUAGAACAUUGGAUUCGGACAUGCCUUGAUCACUUUAUACCCACGUAUACAGCCUCUGGAGGCAGCAUUUUCCUAGUUUCAAACGCAGCCAAUAUUGAAGUCCUUUUUUACUAUAAACUGUCCUCCUUGCCCAGUAGAUGGCGAUAUGCACGAAAAAUGUGAGUUGGAAAAAAAGAAGAAAGUGAAAGGACUUAAAUAUUGAUCAGUUUCUCACCCACACCUAUUACAUAAAUUCUGAAGAUAUGGAUUUAACUAUUGGAGUCUUAUGGAUUGUUUUAUGCUGCCUUUAUAUGAUUUUUGGACCUUCAAAGUUCUGGUCACCAUUUACUUGCAUUGUAAGGACCUACAGAGCUGAAAUAUUCUUCUAAAAAUCUUUGUGUUCAGCAGAAGAAAGAAAGUCACACAUCUGGGAUGGCAUGAGGAUCGAUGGACCAGAAAUCAUUUAGACUGAUUCGAUCCAGUUGGAUUCAUUCAUUGAAAAAAACUGACUCAAAAGACCGACUCACAAAUCAAACUUUGUCUUACUUGAAAGUUUCUACUCUACACAGCAGCAAAUAGGCCUGGAACACACCAUUUUGAGAUGUAGUAUUUCCAGGAUACCAAUGACUGCGGGAACCCAGUAAAACAGAAAGACAGUGGCCUUAUUGUAAAGUUCUGGACCUACAGAUGAAUGCUUAUACCUGCUUUAUAAUAAUUUGUUUGAAU